GCGCGCACAGUCUCGGGCCGAGCCGCGGUCCCGGCGUGGACGGGUCAGGGCAGACCCUAGUAGGCCCGGAGUUACAGCCGAAGGAGCUUUGGCUCCGCUGAGGGAGGCAGCAAGACCUGGGGCCUGGGAGGCGUCUGAGACCCAGCUCGUUGGCCCAGCCCGGAGCCGGGCAAGAGCCAGAGUGGGCCAGGCGGCGGAAGGCUGGAGUAGUACAAAUUCCGCCCGCCCCCUACCCCUCUUAACGGAGGUCUGAAGGCGGACUGGGACUAGCCCACGGUCGCACUGCUAGUUUACUGCCUUUGACACCGCUCAUCUUGGAGAAGCAAGCCACCUGCCAUGUUGUAACCAGCCCUUUGAGAGUCCCAGGUGAUGGCAAGAUUCCUGCCAGUAGCCAAUGAACAACUGAGGCAUUCUGACCAUGAUGUGAGUGAGCUUAUCUGAACCUGAAAACAAGAUAAAUGCUGAAGAAAAUUAAACAUUCAAGGCUCCGCUCCUCAAAAUGCCAAACUGACACUGAAAAACAUUUCUCCAGUCUUUGAACAGGUCCCUCCAUAGCCUCAAAGAUGGAGACUGAUUGGCAGAAGGACCAAGACUUGAGUAGAAGCCUGGAUCUUUGGCCUACCCUCCAACCUCCAGGGAAGGGAGAGGGCCUGAGGUUAAACAAUAAUUGAUCAUGCAAUGAAAACUCAUUGAUGUGCCAAGAUGGGUAACAUACCUCAACUCCACAGGGACAAAGGCUCCUGUGCUCUGGACCCUUCUGGACUUCACACUGUGUCAUUUACAUUGCUUAUAACAAACCAAUGCUAGUAAGUAAAUAGGUUUUCCUGAGUUCUGUGAGUCUUUCUAGUUCCUGAAGGUGAGGAGGAAAGUUGUGGAAACACCAUACUUUGUAGCCAAGUUGGACACGUUGGAGCUCAGGGUAGGCUGCCCCAAAAUAUGCGUCAAUGGCAUAUUGAUUAUUUGGAAUUGAAGUUGCUUGUGAAGCAGCUGAUACAAAAGGAAACUGACCUUAUGAGAGCAGAAAUUAAAUCCUUCAUGUGAAAGGUGUACCCCUGCCUCUGGAGGUAGAAGGACCCCCUUAGUAUUAGAGGUAGGGAAUUCAGGGCUGGACCAAGAAAUCUGUAUAAACAAACCUUGCUGCCACUUUACUAAUUUACUACCCAAGCCCAGACUUUGCUUAAAUUCCUUACUAAUUAAGCACCUAAACUGAAGUUUGUCAAGUCCUCUCAAAUUUAUUGUUUCUUUGUCUAAAAAGUGUAAAAACCACCUGCUUUGGCUAUUUCUUGGGUCCUAUUUCUGAGAGAUCUCUGUGUGCAUGAAUUAAAAUUUAUUUUUCGCCUGUUAAUUUGACUUGUGUCAAUUUUAUUAUUCAGUCAUAAGAAUUACAAGGGGUAGAGGGGUAAGUUUCCCCUUCCCCAAUAGCCACAAGUGUGGGUAACCUUGGGGACUCAUUACUUGCAACUAACAUCUAAAGAGAGGGCAGUCUUGUGGGAGUGACCCUUUAAUCCGCAGAGUCUGAUGCUAACUCUGGGUAAUUACUGUCCUAAUUAGAUGAAAUUAUAGAACAGGUGUCAGAAUUGGUUGAUUUCAGAAGAAAAUGCUCACACCAUCUCAUAGGCCAAAAAAUGAUACUGAAUUUUUUAAUUACUCUGGGCAAGUAUUUCUUUUUCAUGUGUAUAUUUUCCAAUAAAAUUUCCUUUUCAUGACCAUUGCCAGUUUUCCUCUGAGUUGUUUCUCUUUUUCCCACUGAUGGCUAAAAGCUUUUUUUUUUUUCUGAAUUUUUCAAAAUUAUUUUUUAUUUUUUAAAGUAUAGCUGAUUUAUCAUGUUGUACCAAUUUAAGAGCAUCUUAUAUAUUAAGUUUAUUAACUCUGUGUCUAUAUCGUGUGCUGGAAAUAUUUUUCCCCUGGUUUGUCGACCUUUAUUCUAAUUUAUGGUUUCAUUUUUGCUGUGCCAACAAUAUCUAAAAUUACAUAAUCAGAUAUAUAAAUCUUUUCCUUUAUGGCUCUUUGCUUUUCAUAUCAUACUUAGAAAGGUUAUAAACCCAUGCGCUAAGGUUAUUUAGAUAUUUAUGUUUUCUUCUAGUAUAUUUAUGACUUUCUAUUUUUAGGUAUCAGUUUUUAAAUCUUCCUGGCAUUCAUCUUGAUGUAUUUUGAGGUAGGAUUCAAGUUUUUUUAUUUAGCCAAAAUGGCUAGCUGUAUAUUGUAACACUUUUUAUGGAAUAAUCUGUUUCCCACUGAUUUUGAGCUACUUUUUGUCAUACACUGAAUUCUCCUAUUUUUUUCAGUUUAAUUCUGAACUCUAUUCCAUUCUAGUGAUUUCUUUUCCUAUACAGCUGUCACACUAUUUCUAAUUACCAUUGUUUAAUAAUGUGCUUUAUUAUCUGAUAGAGCUGUUCUCCAUUUAUUACUCUUCCUUUUCAGAAACUUCCUGUCUAUUCUUGCAGGUUUAUUCCUUCUGAGGAAUUUUGAUAUCACUUUUUAAAG